AGCCAUGAUUGAUUUGUGCUCGAAUUUCUUAGCUGAGAAUGCUGAAAAUAACAAGGACAAAGGCCCUGGCUUUAAGCUGUUGAUAAGCACAUUACGUAAACAACCGAAACAAGUUUUAUUUGAAAAGGAUAGAAUAAAAGAAACAUACGAAGAUGCUGCCACAGAGUUAACUCAAGCACGAAGUUUAGAAAGCGACCACGACGAUCCGGUUCUAACAGGAAAAAUCCAGGAGGGUCUGAAGAAAGUGGUGGCAAAGGUUACACCGCAUGACAU